GCGGACUCCGUGGGAGCAGGCGCGGGAAGACGGGGGGGGGAAGUGUGAUGCGGACUGAUUGGGCGUAUGGCGUCCGUAGGUAGCUAGGCAAGGCGGCGGUCAAAGACUGGGGCUUAACCCUGGAAAGGCCGUGGAAACUGACGAGCUAGAGUGCAGUAGGGGUAGAGGGAAUUCCCGGUGUAGCGGUGAAAUGCGUAGAGCUCGGGAAGAACAUCGGUGGCGAAAGCGCUCUACUGGACUGCAACUGACACUCAGGGACGAAAGCUAGGGGAGCGAAUGGGAUUAGAUACCCCAGUAGUC
rnacentral:rRNA from 1 species